rnacentral:lncRNA from 1 species
GGAGAAGUUGUAAUAAAAACUAGAUUUACCUUGACUCCUAAUCUGGUCUCUUGAGCACAGAGAGUCAGCAUGAAUAAUUUUCUUUGUGUCCCUAUCAGUGUCUCACAGAAAAUGAUGUGCUCAGAGACUGGAAUAACAUUGGAAACAGUGCCUAGUGAGCAGACAGAAAGAGCUGUAAACAUCUCCUCUGCUGCAGGCCGUCAGCAUAUGCAACACUGACAUGAAUCAACAUGGUUGCUGCUUUUGGAGUCCUAAGUCUUGCUGGGGAACUGAUGUUUCACUCCUUCCUGCUGUCCUCUCCGGGAACAGAGCUUCAGUCUCCAUCAUCAAUCAUGCAGGGAGGAAUUCAGACUUCCACAUGGACCCCUUCCUCUCAGAGAUUCCAUCCAGAUCUGGCAUGUUGAUGAGAUGUGAUUCCAUAUGGAUUGAUGUGUUUCCAUGUUGAUAAGGAAGAUCCAGACCAAGGAAUGCUUGCAGACACGUCCUUGCAGCAGCAGUAAGUGAGACGUACUUUUCGCAGUAUCUUCACUGAGUCUGGAUAUUCCCAGAAAAAGAAAAGAUGUGAUAGGUUAAAAGGGGUAGGUAAUCUAGCGUUACUUUACAAUUAUUCCAUUACCUGUGAGGUCAU